AGGGGUCGGAUGAAAUCAUUAUAAUUUCUGAUGGUGAUGACUCAAUUGGAACAACUUCUACCACGAGAUCCUCAUCCUCAACAUGUUCAAGCUCAGACUCGGAUGAAUCUAUCAUAACAACUUCUACAGGUUCGACCUCCGGUGAGUCUGGGGUCAUAUGAUUAGCCAUUAUCAAAUUUGGAUCAGUUUCAUCAGAAGUGUAUCCCCA
rnacentral:pre_miRNA from 1 species